AGUGAACGCUGGCGGUAGGCCUAACACAUGCAAGUCGAACGGCAGCACAGUAAGAGCUUGCUCUUACGGGUGGCGAGUGGCGGACGGGUGAGGAAUACAUCGGAAUCUACUUUUUCGUGGGGGAUAACGUAGGGAAACUUACGCUAAUACCGCAUACGACCUACGGGUGAAAGCAGGGGAUCUUCGGACCUUGCGCGAUUGAAUGAGCCGAUGUCGGAUUAGCUAGUUGGCGGGGUAAAGGCCCACCAAGGCGACGAUCCGUAGCUGGUCUGAGAGGAUGAUCAGGCACACGGGGAAUGAAACACGGGCCAGACUCACACGGAAGGAAGCAGUGGGGAAUGUUGGACAAAGGGCGAAGGACUGAUCCAACCAUUCCGCGUGAGUGAAGAACGCCUUAGGGUUGUAAAGCCCUUUUGUUGGAAAAGAAAAGCAGCAGAUUAAUACCCGGCAGUUCUGACGGUACCCAAAGAAUAAGCACCGGAUAACUUCGUG
rnacentral:rRNA from 1 species